ACACACACACACAAUGCAUUCAGUGGCUUGGCUUUUUAAAUGCUAAUUUCUUUUGGGACUGGCAGCUCAAGUUUGCCCCUAUUCCCCUGCCCCCCUCAUUAGUAUUCAGGAAAGGUGAUAGGGUUUACAUCGUGUCAAUCUUCAACAAGUGUUACGGAGAGCAGAGUGGAGAUGUUACUCCUUUACAUAGGGACAAUGUGGCUAUUAAAUCUCUGAGUUCGAACGAAAACAGACUGGUGUAUAGACUGGUGUAUAUGGCAAAUGAAAGUUUGAAGAGGAUAUUUGAAAAGCUGGAGAUGUUGGACAUGAGGUUGGAUAAGAUGAAGGCUGACAUCAAUGAGCUCAAAGAGGCAAAAGAGGAGCCUGCUUCAAAGAAAUCAAAGAGAGCUGGGAAUAAUUCUGUUGCGGAAGCUGUAUGGAGAUUGCACAAUGGGGAAAACAAUGUACACAAAUAUGACCCACAGACAAGUCUAUCCUCCUCCCACAACCUUGAGGUCAUAACCUAUCUUUUUAAUGGCUGUACCGGACGUAGAUCCUGCUGUUGUUAAAGUAUCCUGCUAUUUUGAAACUGUUAGAAAGGGUUACACGAUGGCCCAAGAUGAGAACAAAGACAAGAUGGAGGACAGCAGGAUCAUUAUGCUCAUGAGACAAAGAAAAAGAAGACUACUGAGCUGCAGGACUGGGAUUCUCCAGACAGACGAAGAUGCAUCUAUCUGGAAGACUGCAACAGUUGACCACAUGUCUGAACAGUAGGAUGCCAUCUUGGAUGGAAAGUCGGUGUGGGUUGUUCGGGUUAUUAUAUUGUUUUACAUAUAUUAUACACAGGCCUUAUAUAUUAUAUGGGGUUAUUUGUUGUAUGACUAAUAGUAAAACGUAUUCUGUGCUAAUGUUUUUUAUUAUUAUUUAUAGAGUUUUGACUGUGUGUAUAUAAAUAUAUAUGUCAUGUGUCCAGUGUCAUUUACAAAUAAUAAAAAUAACAAACUCAACUUUGUCUAUCUGAUUGUCUUGACAUUAUAACUAGGGAUGGGAAUUGAUAAGAUUUUAUCGAUAUCGAUGCCACUAACGAUUCUGCUUAUCGAUCCGAUUCUUUAACGAUUCUCUUAUCGAUUCCUGAUAGCACUGUG